AUUGAACGCUGGCGGCAGGCCUAACACAUGCAAGUCGAGCGGAUGAAGGGAGCUUGCUCCUUGAUUCAGCGGCGGACGGGUGAGUAAUGCCUAGGAAUCUGCCUGGUAGUGGGGGAUAACGUCCGGAAACGGGCGCUAAUACCGCAUACGUCCUGAGGGAGAAAGUGGGGGAUCUUCGGACCUCACGCUAUCAGAUGAGCCUAGGUCGGAUUAGCUAGUUGGUGGGGUAAAGGCCUACCAAGGCGACGAUCCGUAACUGGUCUGAGAGGAUGAUCAGUCACACUGGAACUGAGACACGGUCCAGACUCCUACGGGAGGCAGCAGUGGGGAAUAUUGGACAAUGGGCGAAAGCCUGAUCCAGCCAUGCCGCGUGUGUGAAGAAGGUCUUCGGAUUGUAAAGCACUUUAAGUUGGGAGGAAGGGCAGUAAGUUAAUACCUUGCUGUUUUGACGUUACCAACAGAAUAAGCACCGGCUAACUUCGUG
rnacentral:rRNA from 1 species